rnacentral:rRNA from 1 species
GGUUAAGCGACUAAGCGUACACGGUGGAUGCCCUGGCAGUCAGAGGCGAUGAAGGACGUGCUAAUCUGCGAAAAGCGUCGGUAAGGUGAUAUGAACCGUUAUAACCGGCGAUGUCCGAAUGGGGAAACCCAGUGUGUUUCGACACACUAUCAUUAACUGAAUCCAUAGGUUAAUGAGGCGAACCGGGGGAACUGAAACAUCUAAGUACCCCGAGGAAAAGAAAUCAACCGAGAUUCCCCCAGUAGCGGCGAGCGAACGGGGAGGAGCCCAGAGCCUGAAUCAGUGUGUGUGUUAGUGGAAGCGUCUGGAAAGGCGCGCGAUACAGGGUGACAGCCCCGUACACAAAAAUGCACAUGCUGUGAGCUCGAUGAGUAGGGCGGGACACGUGGUAUCCUGUCUGAAUAUGGGGGGACCAUCCUCCAAGGCUAAAUACUCCUGACUGACCGAUAGUGAACCAGUACCGUGAGGGAAAGGCGAAAAGAACCCCGGCGAGGGGAGUGAAAAAGAACCUGAAACCGUGUACGUACAAGCAGUGGGAGCCCUGAUUUAUCAGGGUGACUGCGUACCUUUUGUAUAAUGGGUCAGCGACUUAUAUUCUGUAGCAAGGUUAACCGAAUAGGGGAGCCGGAGGGAAACCGAGUCUUAACUGGGCGUUAAGUUGCAGGGUAUAGACCCGAAACCCGGUGAUCUAGCCAUGGGCAGGUUGAAGGUUGGGUAACACUAACUGGAGGACCGAACCGACUAAUGUUGAAAAAUUAGCGGAUGACUUGUGGCUGGGGGUGAAAGGCCAAUCAAACCGGGAGAUAGCUGGUUCUCCCCGAAAGCUAUUUAGGUAGCGCCUCGUGAAUUCAUCUCCGGGGGUAGAGCACUGUUUCGGCAAGGGGGUCAUCCCGACUUACCAACCCGAUGCAAACUGCGAAUACCGGAGAAUGUUAUCACGGGAGACACACGGCGGGUGCUAACGUCCGUCGUGAAGAGGGAAACAACCCAGACCGCCAGCUAAGGUCCCAAAGUCAUGGUUAAGUGGGAAACGAUGUGGGAAGGCCCAGACAGCCAGGAUGUUGGCUUAGAAGCAGCCAUCAUUUAAAGAAAGCGUAAUAGCUCACUGGUCGAGUCGGCCUGCGCGGAAGAUGUAACGGGGCUAAACCAUGCACCGAAGCUGCGGCAGCGACACUGUGUGUUGUUGGGUAGGGGAGCGUUCUGUAAGCCUGCGAAGGUGUGCUGUGAGGUAUGCUGGAGGUAUCAGAAGUGCGAAUGCUGACAUAAGUAACGAUAAAGCGGGUGAAAAGCCCGCUCGCCGGAAGACCAAGGGUUCCUGUCCAACGUUAAUCGGGGCAGGGUGAGUCGACCCCUAAGGCGAGGCCGAAAGGCGUAGUCGAUGGGAAACAGGUUAAUAUUCCUGUACUUGGUGUUACUGCGAAGGGGGGACGGAGAAGGCUAUGUUGGCCGGGCGACGGUUGUCCCGGUUUAAGCGUGUGUAGGCUGGUUUUCCAGGCAAAUCCGGAAAAUCAAGGCUGAGGCGUGAUGACGAGGCACUACGGUGCUGAAGCGACAAAUGCCCUGCUUCCAGGAAAAGCCUCUAAGCAUCAGGUAACAUCAAAUCGUACCCCAAACCGACACAGGUGGUCAGGUAGAGAAUACCAAGGCGCUUGAGAGAACUCGGGUGAAGGAACUAGGCAAAAUGGUGCCGUAACUUCGGGAGAAGGCACGCUGAUAUGUAGGUGAAGCGACUUGCUCGUGGAGCUGAAAUCAGUCGAAGAUACCAGCUGGCUGCAACUGUUUAUUAAAAACACAGCACUGUGCAAACACGAAAGUGGACGUAUACGGUGUGACGCCUGCCCGGUGCCGGAAGGUUAAUUGAUGGGGUCAGCGCAAGCGAAGCUCUUGAUCGAAGCCCCGGUAAACGGCGGCCGUAACUAUAACGGUCCUAAGGUAGCGAAAUUCCUUGUCGGGUAAGUUCCGACCUGCACGAAUGGCGUAAUGAUGGCCAGGCUGUCUCCACCCGAGACUCAGUGAAAUUGAACUCGCUGUGAAGAUGCAGUGUACCCGCGGCAAGACGGAAAGACCCCGUGAACCUUUACUAUAGCUUGACACUGAACACUGGUCCUUGAUGUGUAGGAUAGGUGGGAGGCUUUGAAGUGUGGACGCCAGUCUGCAUGGAGCCGUCCUUGAAAUACCACCCUUUAAUGGCUGGUGUUCUAACGUGGGCCCGUAAUCCGGGUUGCGGACAGUGUCUGGUGGGUAGUUUGACUGGGGCGGUCUCCUCCUAAAGAGUAACGGAGGAGCACGAAGGUUGGCUAAUCCUGGUCGGACAUCAGGAGGUUAGUGCAAUGGCAUAAGCCAGCUUGACUGCGAGCGUGACGGCGCGAGCAGGUGCGAAAGCAGGUCAUAGUGAUCCGGUGGUUCUGAAUGGAAGGGCCAUCGCUCAACGGAUAAAAGGUACUCCGGGGAUAACAGGCUGAUACCGCCCAAGAGUUCAUAUCGACGGCGGUGUUUGGCACCUCGAUGUCGGCUCAUCACAUCCUGGGGCUGAAGUAGGUCCCAAGGGUAUGGCUGUUCGCCAUUUAAAGUGGUACGCGAGCUGGGUUUAGAACGUCGUGAGACAGUUCGGUCCCUAUCUGCCGUGGGCGCUGGAGAACUGAGGGGGGCUGCUCCUAGUACGAGAGGACCGGAGUGGACGCAUCACUGGUGUUCGGGUUGUCAUGCCAAUGGCACUGCCCGGUAGCUAAAUGCGGAAGAGAUAAGUGCUGAAAGCAUCUAAGCACGAAACUUGCCCCGAGAUGAGUUCUCCCUGAGACUUAGAGUCUCCUGAAGGAACGUUGAAGACGACGACGUUGAUAGGCCGGGUGUGUAAGCGCAGCGAUGCGUUGAGCUAACCGGUACUAAUGAACCGUGAGGCUUAACCUU